UGUAUCAUCAGAUGCGCCUAUCAGUUAAUGUGGAGCUACACUAAGUAAUAUUAGACCUAAAAGAGCGAUGACAUCAUCAGCCACACUGAAUGAGGUUGGGUUGAAUAAAUACAUUGCUGCCUUACCGUCUCCACGGCAUCUCCUUAUGUUUGGAUUACUGCAGCUUUAACUAAACAACUGCAACAUUUGGAUGCUCCACAAACAAGAUUCCUCAAAACCACAUCACGCAGGGGUUUAUCUAAAUAUAAGAGGAAUAGGAAUGACAUUGGAACUACAUGAGUGUGAGGAAAUGAAAACAAACCCAUUUUGACAUCCCAAAAAUCAAGCAUUCUGCCUACUUUUCAAAAGUAGGUCCUCAUGCUGGUGUGGUUACCUCAAUCCAGGUGGUGGAAAACAAGUCUCCGUUGCCUCCGCUUUUGAGACCGUCAAUCCGCG